ensembl:misc_RNA Metazoa_SRP Metazoan signal recognition particle RNA
GGGUUGGAAGAGACCUUUAGAACAGCAGGUUGUUAUGCCAACCGGGUGUCUGCACUAAGUUUGGCAUCAAUAUGGUGACCUCCUGGGAGCAGGGGGCCACCAGGUUGCCUAAGGAUGAGUGAACUGGCCCAGAUCAGAAAGGGAGCGGGUCAGAACUCCCGCACCAACCGGUAGUGUGACUGUGCCUGGGCAAUACAGAAGAU